AGCGUAUAUUAAAGUUGUUGCAGUUAAAAAGCUCGUAGUUGAAUUUCGGGGUUAGUAGGUUGGUCAUGCCUCUGGUAUGUACUGGUCUCACUGAUUCCUCCUUCCUGAUGAGCCGUAAUGCCAUUAAUUUGGUGUUGCGGGGAAUUUGGACUGUUACUUUGAAAAAAUUAGAGUGUUUAAAGCAAGCUAACGCUUGAAUACAUUAGCAUGGAAUAAUGAAAUAGGACGUUCGAUCCUAUUUCGUUGGUUUCUAGGAUUGACGUAAUGAUUAAUAGGGAUAGUUGGGGGCAUUAGUAUUCAAUUGUCAGAGGNGAAAUUCUUGGAUUUAUUGAAGACUAACUACUGCGAAAGCAUUUGCCAAGGAUGUUUUCAUUAAUCAAGAACGAAAGUUAGGGGAUCGAAGACGAUCAGAUACCGUCGUAGUCUUAACCAUAAACUAUGCCGACUAGGGAUCGGAUGAUGUUAAUUUUUUAAUGACUCAUUC
rnacentral:rRNA from 1 species